rnacentral:sRNA from 1 species
UAAGAGAAACAAGUCGAACGGGGAGUUAGCAAUAACUCCUAGUGGCGAAUUGCCGAGUAACGCGUAGACAACCUACCUUUUAGCUGGGGACAACACCGCGAAAGUGGUGCUAAUACCGAAUGUGGCAGCGUCACUGCAUAGUGAAGCUACUAAAGGUGGCCUCUAUUUAUAAGCUACCGCUAAAAGAUGGGUCUGCGUCUGAUUAGCUAGUUGGCGGGGUAACGGCCCACCAAGGCGACGAUCAGUAGCCGGUCUGAGAGGAUGAACGGCCACACUGGGACUGAGACACGGCCCAGACUCCUACGGGAGGCAGCAGUGGG